rnacentral:rRNA from 1 species
GUCUAUGACCAUACCACUCUGAAUGUGCCCAGUCUCAUCUGAACUCAGAAGUUAAGCACAGUCUAGCCUGGUUAGUACUUAGAUAGGAGACUGGGUGCUGUCGGCU